GACGAACGCUGGCGGCGUGCUUAACACAUGCAAGUCGUACGGUAAGGCCCUUUCGGGGGUACACGAGUGGCGAACGGGUGAGUAACACGUGAGUAACCUGCCCACAACUUUGGGAUAACGCUAGGAAACUGGUGCUAAUACUGGAUAUGUGCUCCUGCUGCAUGGUGGGGGUUGGAAAGCUCCGGCGGUUGUGGAUGGACUCGCGGCCUAUCAGCUUGUUGGUGGGGUAGUGGCCUACCAAGGCGGCGACGGGUAGCCGGCCUGAGAGGGUGACCGGCCAAAAUGGGGAUGGGGAUACGCCCAGGCCUCCUCGGGGAGCAACCGGGGGGGAUAUUGGCACAUGGGGGGAAAGCCGAAGGCAGCACGGCGGCGUGGGGAUGACGGCCUUCGGGUUGUAAACCGCUUUCAGCAGGGACGAAGCUUUUUGUGACGGUACCUGCAGAAGAAGCACCGGCUAACUACGUG
rnacentral:rRNA from 1 species